AACGAACGCUGGCGGCAUGCCUAACACAUGCAAGUCGAACGAGACCUUCGGGUCUAGUGGCGCACGGGUGCGUAACGCGUGGGAACCUGCCUUAAGGUUCGGAAUAACAGUGAGAAAUUACUGCUAAUACCGGAUAAUGUCUUCGGACCAAAGAUUUAUCGCCUUUAGAUGGGCCCGCGUUGGAUUAGCUAGUUGGUGGGGUAAAGGCCUACCAAGGCGACGAUCCAUAGCUGGUCUGAGAGGAUGAUCAGCCACACUGGGACUGAGACACGGCCCAGACUCCUACGGGAGGCAGCAGUGGGGAAUAUUGGACAAUGGGCGAAAGCCUGAUCCAGCAAUGCCGCGUGAGUGAUGAAGGCCUUAGGGUUGUAAAGCUCUUUUACUGGGGAUGAUAAUGACAGUACC
rnacentral:rRNA from 1 species